UGGACUGCGGUUGCAGCUGCAGUUAUCCCUGUUGCAUUGUGCAUUUUUUCCAACCACACAUUUCCCUUCCAGUCAAUUUUCCAUGAAUAUGCUUU